UACGUAGGGUGCAAGCGUUGUCCGGAAUUAUUGGGCGUAAAGAGCUCGUAGGCGGUCUGUCGCGUCUGCUGUGAAAACUCAGGGCUUAACCCUGAGCUUGCAGUGGGUACGGGCAGACUAGAGUGCGGUAGGGGAGACUGGAAUUCCUGGUGUAGCGGUGAAAUGCGCAGAUAUCAGGAGGAACACCGGUGGCGAAGGCGGGUCUCUGGGCCGUAACUGACGCUGAGGAGCGAAAAGCAUGGGGAGCGAACAGG
rnacentral:rRNA from 1 species